ACGGCGAAGUGAAGCCGGCAACAGCUUCAAAUUUUGAAAUCUGGCCUCCGGGCCCGAGUUGUAAUUUUGCAGAGGAUGCUUUUGGCGAGGCGCCUUCCGAGUUCCCUGGAACGGGACGCCAUAGAGGGUGAGAGCCCCGUCUGGUUGGAUGCCGAGCCUCUGUAAAGCUCCUUCGACGAGUCGAGUAGUUUGGGAAUGCUGCUCUAAAUGGGAGGUAUAUGUCUUCUAAAGCUAAAUAUUGGCCAGAGACCGAUAGCGCACAAGUAGAGUGAUCGAAAGAUGAAAAGCACUUUGAAAAGAGGGUUAAACAGUACGUGAAAUUGUUGAAAGGGAAGCGCUUGUGACCAGACUUGGGCCCGGCGGAUCACCCAGCGUUCUCGCUGGUGCACUCCGGCGGGCCCAGGCCAGCAUCAGCUCGUCCCGGGGGACAAAGGCUCUGGGAAUGUGGCUCCUCCGGGAGUGUUAUAGCCCUCUGCGCAAUGCCCUGGGGCGGGCUGAGGACCGCGCAU
rnacentral:rRNA from 1 species